UGCAUAGUAGUUUAGUGGUUGUCUGUCAUAUUUGUUUUUCGUCAAUAGUUUUGUUGUAAUUCAUCAGUCCCACCUCUCCCCCAACUAAUAUAAAAUAGGCAUGUCAUUCUAAAUUUUGAAAUGAGCUCAGGAUAUAAAACCAGUACAAACAUAUUGAGUGUCAUAUCUCAGACUAUGUCUGAUCGAUCUUUAUUGGAAUUGGUGUGUGCUGUCUCCGUAUUUCGUGGAUCCAAAUUCCCAAACAUAGUUC
rnacentral:lncRNA from 1 species